GGACUACUCGGGUAUCUAAUUCCGUUCGCUCCCCUAGCUUUCGCGCCUCAGCGUCAGGUGCGGCCCAGUCGACCGCCUUCGCCACUGGUGUUCUGCCUGAUCUCAACGCAUUUCACCGCUACUCCAGGCAUUCCGCCAACCCCUACCGCCCUCUAGCUUCCCCGUUUGGACUGCCCUCUCCCAGGUAAGCCAGGAGCUUUCACAACCCACGUAAGAAGCCGCCUACGCGCUCUUUACGCCCAGUAAUUCCGGACAACGCUCGCAUCCUACGUAUUACCGCGGCUGCUGGCAC
rnacentral:rRNA from 1 species